AACGUAGGACACAAGCGUUAUCCGGAGUUACUGGGCGUAAAGGGCGUGUAGGCGGGAAGGAAAGUAAGAUGGGAAAUCCCCAGGCUCAACCUGGGAACUGCAUUUGAAACUCCCUUUCUUGAGUACCGGAGAGGAAAGUGGAAUUCCUGGUGUAGCGGUGAAAUGCGCAGAUAUCAGGAGGAACACCGGUGGCGAAGGCGGGUCUCUGGGCAGUAACUGACGCUGAGGAGCGAAAGCGUGGGGAGCGAACAGG
rnacentral:rRNA from 1 species